GGAUGAAGAACGUAGCGAAAUGCGAUACUUGGUGUGAAUUGCAGAAUCCCGUGAACCAUCGAGUCUUUGAACGCAAGUUGCGCCCGAAGCCAUUAGGCCGAGGGCACGCCUGCCUGGGCGUCACACGUCGUUGCCCCCCCAUCUACUCCUUCGGGAUUGCGGGGGGCGGAUGAUGGCCUCCCGUGCGCCUCGUCGCGCGGUUGGCAUAAAUACCAAGUCCUCGGCGACGCACGCCACGACAAUCGGUGGUUGCGAAACCUCGGUUGCCCGUCGUGUGCGGUCGUCGCGCAUCGAGGGCUCGAAAAAAUUGCCGGGCUCCGGCUCGGCUUUCAACGCGACCCCAGGUCAGGCGGGGUUACCCGCUGAAUUUAAGCAUAUCAAUAAGCGGAGGA
rnacentral:misc_RNA from 1 species